rnacentral:rRNA from 1 species
AUGGCGCUCCCCGGCGGCCCCGCCGCGCCGACGCCGGAGCCGGAGCCGGAGCCGCUCAGGCUGGCGGAGGAGGAGGUGCGGGAGGUGGAGCUGUUCGAGGAUGCGGUGGACGUGUCGCCGACCGCCUCCGCGCACCCGGUGACAUGGGGCGAGGGCGAGGCCGCACCGCCGUCGAUGUCGGUGUCGAUACCGCAGCGCGACGAGGCGGGGGCCGCGGACGAGGAGGAGGAAGCGUACGAGUCACCUCCGGCGUCGGGAGCGUCGGGGCCUCCGGGGAUUGACGGCGCGGGAUGGUCGCCUUCGGUUUCCGAAUCGCGAGAGGGCAGCGCCUCGCCGUCGGGGCAGCGCGCGAGGGGCGCGGAGGAGGAAGAGGGGAAUUGGGUGGCCCCGUCGGGGGCAGCAGGCUCGCCAGGGAUGGAGGACUCGAGGUCCAGGUCCUCGUCGGCACCGCCUUCGCCCCGGCCGUCGUCGUCGCCUGCGCCGCAGAUCAGGCCGCACCCGCGCCACGUGCGGACCAGCAGCUUCCAGCGGUUCCGGCAGCAGAUGCAGCGCGCGUGGAAGUGGGGGCCUGUCGGAGGUGGAGUAGGCGCCGAGAGGAGCCCCAGGGAGCAGUUGCUGCGCACUUCGGUCAACAUUGAGGCUAUGGCGAACCAGAAGCGGCAGUGGUAUCAAGUCCACACCAAGGAUCAGAAUCAAUUUAAGGAACCAUCUUCGCUCUUUGAACAUUUUUUCGUAGUUGGACUCCAUUUUUAUGCAAAUGUUGCAGUAAUUGAGGAUGCUUUUGCAAAAAGGAAAGCUUGGGAGUCUAACGUAGCAUGUUCAGAGGUUGUUGAUCUUAAUAAAAUUCAGUACCAUGGACCAAUACCAACCAUGGAACCACAGAUUCUUUUCAAAUAUCCACCUGGAAAGAAAGAGGAUAUUAGAGAGGCUGAUUUACCCUCAUUCUGUUUUCCUGAAGGUGUAAAGGCUCGCUUAGUCGAGAGGACUCCUUCCAUGAGUGAUCUAAAUGAAGUGAUAUUUGGGCAGGAACAUCUGUGCCGAGAUGAUUUGUCCUUUAUCUUCUUCCUAAAGGUAUCGGACAAUGCACCACUAUAUGGUGUUUGCCUUCACGUCCAGGAAAUUGUUCAAAGAGCCCCUGGUAUACUAGGAGCAGUCUCACCCCUAAAUCAGACUUCCUACAAGCCAAGCCGUUUCUUGGUUUCUGCACCACGUUGUUACUGUUUACUUACAAGAGUACCUUUUUUUGAGCUACAUUAUGAGAUGUUAAACAGCAUAAUUUCACAGGAGAGGCUUGAAAGGAUAACACAGUUUGCCAGUGAAAUUGCUCUGGCAGGGCCAGUCCCCCGUUCCUUGAGAGAACAGUUAGAAGAUCAAUCAGACGGGGAUUUUGAAUCUCCAAGUGGUCUUCCGUACAAUGACUGGACAGACUAUGCUGUACCUGUCAACAGUAUAUCAGGUCUUGUUUCUUCACCAGGACUUACAUCAGAAAGAGAUGUCCCUUCAUAUUUGUUCAGGAGUUGGGAACCUAAUUCUCCUGAAAGUAUGUCGGCUAGUGAGACUUCAGAUUCUAGUUAUGCAAAAGAACCUGAGAAGGAAGGAAGACAUAGUUUCCAACAAUACGAAGAUUGUAUAUCACAGAACUCGGAAUCCCGCUGCGACAGCUUUGGAAGAGCAAGUAGUACUUAUGAGAAUGGACAUACUUCCCCAGAUCUUCUUUCCAUGCAUUCUCCUAUCUCUACAAGAUUAGAACACACACAGAGUAUGGAGUCAAUACACAGUUCAGUCAAAGGUGCUGGGUCAGAUGAAGAAGACGAUGAGGUAAAUGUGAAGAAUGAAAGUGGUGUUGAUGAUGGCAAAGUUCUGGGAUGGGCUAAGGCACACAAUAAUGAACCUCUACAAAUUGUUUGUGGUUACCAUGCUCUUCCUCUGCCACCUCGCGGAGGAGAAGUUGUCUUCCAACCCCUUGAACAUCUCCAGCCUGUUAAAUACUCCCGGCCUGGAUUAUCAUCAUUGGGGUUAGGAGACACAAAUUUGGACAAUGAUUUGAAUUCGGCAGAAACAAAUGUGGUCAUUGUGAAUGCCUGUUUGGUCGCUGCAGAAGAAGCUCUUGCAUUAUCAAUAUGGACUAUGGCUACAGUUUGUCGUGCUUUAUCCCUGGAAAGUAUGCUAGCAUUAUUCACUGGAGUUCUGCUGGAGAAGCAAAUUGUGGUAAUAUGCCCAAAUCUGGGCGUACUGUCAGCAAUUGUUUUAUCAAUUAUACCAAUGAUAAGGCCAUUCCAGUGGCAAAGUUUACUGCUUCCUGUUCUACCAGGAAAAUUGAUUGAUUUCAUUGAUGCUCCCGUCCCUUUCAUUGCUGGUAUCCAACAUAAACCCCCUGAUAUCAAGAUGAAAGCGUCCAGUCUUGUCAGAAUCAAUGUACAGAAAGAUCAGGUCAAGGCAAAUUUAUUGCCUCAUCUUCCACGUUACAAGGACCUUGUUUCUGAUCUCAGUCCAAUUCAUGCUAAACUUUCAUGUGAGAAUGCUUUGGCGAAGAAACAUCCUAUGUAUAAAUGCAACGAAGUUCAGGACAGUUUUCUUGAUUCUUUCCCCUCGAAGGAUCGACCGUUCAUGAAGCUCUUCGUGGAAACACAGAUGUUCUCCGUUCUAUCAGAUUCUCGACUUGCCACAUUUGAAAGCGAGCACACACAGGGCUUUGCUUCAGCAGGAGAUCAAAACAUGCACUUCGAUUGA